UUUUAAUUGUGUUUGCCAGUGUGAAUUUUACAAAAGACAUUCUCUCCUCCCCUUCAUAAUCCCUUUUUAUAUGUUUUCAGGAUAAAUGCUGGAGGGGCUCCAAUUUUGAAGUGUUAAAUUAUCAAGCGAAAUCAUAAGAGCAAUUUAUAAAAGAGAUAGCUGAAAAUUAAAAUACAAAAACCGCUAAAGGUAAAAUUCGUGGGGGAACUCUCUUGUCACCGCCCGGAGACCCUGAAGAACAGAUGGAAGCAACUCUCCAGCUUCUGUUCAUCACUGGAGAGUUACCAACAUUUUGGCUAGCUGUAUGAAGAAAGAUGGGAAGGCACCUUUUAUAGAAAACCAAUCAGCAGAGGAACAAGACAGGAAGUAUGAAGGCAAGAACUCUACAUGGGUCGAAUAAAGAAAGCUUUCAUAGACUAGGUGAUUCAAGGUAAACUCUGCCUACCUCGUUUGGAGUCCUAUCCACAACCUCUUGCUGAGUUAAGACAUUUGCAGUCUAAAUUACACAUGCAGUAUACUGAUACCUGAAAGUACUAGAUAAGAAAAUGAGCACCC
rnacentral:lncRNA from 1 species